AGCAGCCAUUUUAUUGUAGGUAUUGGUAUUAUCAUUUUUUUGUCAUGAUAAGAAUUAAUACCGGUUGAGUGACAAUAUAUAUUAUAAGAAUUUUACUUUUAAUCAUUUUAUUUCAUUAAUUUUCCAUCUUUUAUAUAAUAAUUAAUAGAAUGGUUUAUGUUUGCAUUGUAAAAAACUGCAUUAACUUAAGAAUUGCUACCAAAAAUGAUGAUUGUAAAAUGUUUAAAAUACCAAAGGAUUUUCCUCGGUAAUAGAUAAGAGAAUAAGAAAUGAGACAUCGGUAUCUAAAAACAGUUAGGAUUUAUGCAUGCUUCGAUGCAAAGCUCAGAUGGUAUUCAUUUAACUAUAAUGUAU